GGAACUAAACGGGAAAAGUACUCCGGUGUGAAAGCGCCUUAUAGCUUUGUGCUGGUGGUGAUGUUUCUCAGUUUACUAAUGUCUCCCUGUUGCUUGCUGAGGAAUUCUGAUUCAGUGUGUAUUCCUUCUUUGGUAUCUAGGCGUGGUGGCCGAUCGAAGGCAGCUGCUGCUAAAGAUGACCCGGAGGAGGAGGAAGAAGAAGAAGAUGAGGAGGAGGAGCAGCAGGAGGAGCAGGAGGACGAGCCAACACCGAAGGGUCGCAAGAAGGCAGCUGUGCGAAGAAGAUGAGCUGAAAAAAAAAGAUGGAGGACAAACAAAAAUGGGGCGUUUACUCGAAUGUUGUGGAUGAGUGACGAAGGAAAGAAAAUAUGGACAUUGAACUUUUUUAACUUUUCAUACGCAGAUGCUCCUACUGUUACACAAGUUCACACACUUGCAUAAACCACAUGCACACUACAUGAGUACAUCAGUUUCAUCAGCUGUGGGUUGUUGCAUUGUGUUGCAUUGUGAUGAUGUUCGCCACAUUAAGUAGAAAUAAUUUUAACAGGAAAACAAAAAAAGAUCACUCUUGUAAAUAGUCUCUUAUGUCUGUUCAUGUUCUGUUGUUGUGUUUGAUGCUGACUGGGAGGAUGCUGUGAGCCUUUUCCCCGCCAAUAUUAUUAUGACAAUUCUCCCAUAAAGGAAAUAUUGCUUAUCAAUCAUUCCCUCUGUGUCACACUUUGAAAAACUGAAGAGAUUAACAUACAUUAUCUUAUUGUGAUGUUAUUGUAUUACUUUAAAAGAAAACAUUUUUUGUUUACAGUACUGUAUAUUAAUACCUUUUUUUUUACCAUGUAUUAAAACAUUUAAAAACAAUAUCAGAAAACCUGUCCAAAUUUAGAUUUGCCUCGGGAAAAGGUUGUAGUGUGUGAUUCAUUUUAAAGUUUGUACUUCCUGGUAGAUGAGGUCAUGAGCAGCUGUGGUUGUAGUUUUUGUCACUGCUGAUUAACUUGGCUUCACAUCCACCCAGUCACAUCCUCUGUUGUAUCAAUAUAAUUCUCUAUAAAACCUGAAA